GUAAGCGCCAUGACCUGUAGAGCCUUUUCAUUGUGUCAUCUGCCUUGCUCUACUCAAUCGUCUAUUCACCUGCAUACCUCUUUAUUUUCCCCUUUACUUCUCGAUUUCUCUCUGUGAAUUCUCCUGUUGGCAUAUGCAGGCAGUUUAUCCAUCUUUGUUUUAUUUGAAUUCGGUAGUAUGGCCGAUUGACGACAUCUUUGAUAUGCUUCACUUGGCUAGACUAUCAACUUUGGUGUCGUUCUUUUGCAUAGCCUCUCAAAAAUCCCAGCUGCAACAACUGAUACGAUCAGGCAAGUCCAACUGUCCAACUUAGUAUUUUCAGCUAUAUCCAUACGAAAGAAUGCUUUGGUAUCUUUUUCUGGCCAAUUUGCAUCUCUUUUUGGAAGUAGACAGUUAAUGGAAAGAAUGCUUUGGUAUCUUUUUCUGGCCAAUUUGCAUCUCUUUUUGGAAGUAGACAGUUAAUGGAAAGAACGAUGCUGCCCCCAUCAAAUCCAAGAAGUGUGACGACCCAAAGGGUCAUCACCUGUAUUCCUACUCACUCUGUAUUUCUGAGGCCGU